rnacentral:rRNA from 1 species
UACGGGAGGCAGCAGUGGGGAAUAUUGCACAAUGGGGGAAACCCUGAUGCAGCAACGCCGCGUGAAGGAAGAAGUAUUUCGGUAUGUAAACUUCUAUCGACAGGGAAGAAACAAAUGACGGUACCUGAAUAAGAAGCACCGGCUAAAUACGUGCCAGCAGCCGCGGUAAUACGUAUGGUGCAAGCGUUAUCCGGAUUUACUGGGUGUAAAGGGUGAGUAGGCGGUCAUGCAAGUCAUAUGUGAAAUGUCAGGGCUUAACCUUGGCGCUGCAUAAGAAACUGUAUGACUAGAGUGCAGGAGAGGUAAGCGGAAUUCCUAGUGUAGCGGUGAAAUGCGUAGAUAUUAGGAAGAACACC